UCUUCAAUCAAACGCGAUGCAUGGAGACGAGAUGUAGGAGCCACAGUACACCCCAAACUUUGAAGAUAAGCGAUCUGCAUCAAAUAGGGGUUUUUGGAAAUGUUCCUAAAAGACGUGAGAAAAGACAUUUAGGAAGACAACAGUAGCACUGCAGAAAGUUGCUGAAACGAUAAGUUUCUUAAACUGUGAUGAGGUUGCAGGGGGAUAUC